ACUCAAUAGUAUUAAAAAAAAAGUUGAGGGAGUUGGUAAAUGGUUAUGUUAUGGGCAUGAGUGUAAAUACACAAGGGACAACGGAGUCGCACUGUACAGUGUACACCCCUGCGCAAUAUAGCAAUUCUCAUUUCAUUGGUAGGUAGUAGGGAACAAAAGCUUAGCAGCGUUGCUUCUCAUCCUCUUCUCGGCUAGUCGCCUACCGGUACCGCCAAGCCCCGUUUGGGGAGACACGAGGAGAAUUCUCAUGGCGGCAACUCUGCUCUCCAAGCCUACGCUUUCCUCUAUUUUCCUCGGCCAGCAAUUAUGCAAUAGAGGAAAUUCGAAGAGUUCUCCACAGUGUGGGUGGAUUCUCUCGAAGAGGUCUCAGUCGCGUGGGUUGAGCCUCAUGGUCCCCAGGUGUGCGGUGGAUACAGCGUCGU